rnacentral:lncRNA from 1 species
UCACAGAAUCAGAUGGCGUUCAGAAGAAAUGUUCUGGAAUUUCAUAAGGGUCCACCUGACUAUGUGUGAUUUAAAACAAAAGGAGAAGAUAAACCCUUCACAAUAGUUUUACUGGACCGCCUGGAACCACAAGAGCAGCCAAUGAUGUAGACGUUGAAGAAGACAGAACCUCACGGAAGAAAGGAGUUAUCUCAGUUUCUAGUCCCACUUUCCAUUCUUCAAUUACAUGUUGAAAUAUAGGAAGAAAGAAAGCAGCAUGGUCCAGAAUGGUUCCAGCCUCCUUGCCAGAUAGGCUCCUACUGACUGAUCAAGUGGGUGUCCCUUGAAAAGCAUGUCUAGGACAUGACUGAGAUGUUUUCUGUACUUUAAUUGGAUCAUUUUUGGUGUUUUGCUGCUGACCUUUCAUGAUAUGAUCUCUGAUAAUCGCUGGAAAUUGCUCAGAGCCUACCAGGGACUGCCUAGAAAUAGCUUGUUUUAUUCCAGUUAUUGUUAAGCAAAAUGGCGUCUGUGUCCCAAGUGGCUCAUUUGCAUAUGAGGGCCCACAAGCCUAGAUGAGCUUUCUGUGGAGGCCACUGCAUUUUGAAGGGGAAGAAAAACGAGCAGAAUGGGAAACAAUCAUUCCACAGCUUGCUUAUUUAUUUAUUUAUUUAUUUAUUUAUUUAUUUAUUUAUUUAUUUAUUUAUAUCUAUUUUUCCAUGUUCUGAGUGUUUGUACUUUGUUCUAGCUUUGCACUGAUUGAUAUACAGUCCUGUUCACUUGUGUCCUGAUAUUGGGAUCAGGAGUUCACAGAUGUUUCUACUGAGGUGUUUUCAGAGAAAUACUAAAUGAUUAAGGUACUUUCAGCAUAAAAUGGAAAAAAAUAAGUUUUAUCCAUCCAAUUAUGUACUAUUUAUAGCAGUAAAAUCAAGCACCACAAAAUACGUGAUUUUUUUCCCUUUUUCUUCUUCUCCUUCCCCUUUUCACAUGGUACAUUUUUCGAUGUGUUGGAAACAUCACAAUAAACAAAUAACUGAAGAAAAAAAAAUAACCACCGAAAAUUGCCUGCAAUUUUACCAUUUAGCAAGACUCACUGUGAACACUGUGAGAAAAGUGUUCUGAGGGCUUUCUCUGCAAUAAUACAUGAUACAAUUUAAAAUAAUAAUAUUCACAUAGCACUCCCUGUAUGCCAGGCACUGGGAAAGACACUGAGCGCGUAAUCCUCCAUAAACUGGGGACACAGUUAGCAGAAUUGGCUUCAGCAGGGCUGUAAAUGCAGUGAGCCUGAGGAAGGGAGCCUUUCUUCCUUCCCACGCAACAUGGCUUAGGAUUCCACUCUGUGUGCUAGUCUCCUUUUUGACAGAGCAGGGGAACUCAUACCAAUUGAUUGAUUGAUUGAUUGAUUGAUUUUGGUACAGCUUAUAUUUGAUUCCCUAUCCAUAGUAGGGCCACAUUUCAGGAAUAGAUGUUUAUCUUUCAACAGUUCUUUAGGUGGGCUGAAGAGAUGGCUCAGCAGUUAUGACCACUAGCUAUUCUUCCAGAAGUCCUGAGUUCAAUUCCCAGCAACCAGAUGGUGGCUCUCAAACAUCUGUAAUGGGAUGUCCUCUUCUGGUGUGUCUAAAGAGAGUGGCAGUGUACUCACAUAUAUAAAAUAUAUUAAUUAAGAGAGAGACCUCAUGAAUGGGCAAGUUACUUUGUACAAAGAUUUAUGUGAGGUCUGGCCUUCUGAUGUUCGUCCAUGAGAGGACAAAAUUUGUCAUCUAUGAGAGAUCAUUAUAAUGGUGCCUUUUUUGAGGAAGAAGAAGCCUGUCCUAACUAGAUACCAUCCAAACCCCAGUAUCUGUCAGCACUGUAGUACUGAGCUAUACAUUCUCCAACCCUUACUAUAGUUUUAAGGGAACUUCUUCCUGUGUUUUGAUGAAGAGUUUUUAUCAUAAGACCCUUGCUGAGUUUUGUUGUUGUUGUUGUGUAUUUUGUUUGUUUGUUUUAGUUUUCUCAGUUGCUGUAUUGUGAACUUUGCCCCCAUGUUCUUGGGCACUCUAGUGUGGCACCAUUUUGGAUGAUUUUCUAUGUGUUUCCAACUGAAAAGGCACACAGUCAAUAUGUGUAAAGGACCCCACAGUGUGGGCCAUAUACUCUUUACAGAGUGUUUAAUUGAAGCAUUCCUGUCUUCAUCCUCAAAGCACUACUAUUGUAAAGAACUCGUGGACUAACUUUGUUUGAAAAGCAAAACAGAUUGCAUGUUGCAAGACAGAGCUGCUGGCAAAGUGCUCCAUCGUGUCAGAUUUAUACAAACCCAUCUCCUGUGUAUUGCACCAUGUCCUAGAAAACUGAAAACCAUGAAAACAAGCGCUCAUAUUUUAAGGAACUCAAUGACAGCUGAUAAAAUAUUGCAUUUUCUCUAGCAGUUUUUACAUAAAGCUUCCACCUUAAAGAAAUGGAUUUGAUGGGACUAGGUGGUAAUUUUUUAACACAGGCAGUGGCAAAAUAAACACCAUCUGUUAGUAUUGACUUAUUCCACAGCAUUCUCAGGCUGGGUGAUUUUAUUUCGCGUUUUUCAGAAACGGCUAAUGACACAUCUGGUAGUCAGUGAAGGUGCACUCUAGGUGAUUAAAUGUGGUCAUAAGUUUACACAAAAUGCUGACAGGACAUUUUUCCCCCUUUCCAUUAUAUCCAAUGGGGCACGUCUAAGUCCUGGCUAGCUCCUCAUUCUAACUCUGUGUAGAAUUAUCUAUUUGACAGAAACUGGACUUUUGGAAGUCCAUGCUGAGGUCCUCUAUGUAGUAGAACUUAAGGCAGAAAUUGGGUCUGAGAGAGAUUUGUUGGAAAGGCAGCUAUGAAGACUGAGAUCGAGAGACAGGAGUGGAGAGAACCGUCAUUCCCCCAAGGUCACAAUGGUAUGAGCAAAGGAGUCUAGGGCAGAAGAGAGUUCUGGGAAAGGAGUGUCAGACUAUGACCUAGUCUAAAAACUUAGAAAACUCUAAAGACUCUUUUAAAAAUUAGGAUAUGGAUAUUUCUAGGAGUCUAAGAUGCCCUUUGGAAAUUUUCCCACACUCUGUGGAAUUGGGCAACCACGUUCAGUCUUGUCUUAGAGCAGCCUUCGGGAAACGCAAACCCAAAGUAAGUGUAAUGAUAGAAAAAAAGAGAACAGCAGAAGUGACCAUCUAUGAACUCUGCUGUCACAGCAGGAGACCUAACAGGUGUACUUUCAUGGCUCUUAGAAACUUGUACACAGGUGGUAACAGAGAGAUGAGUUUUAUUCAUCUCCAUAUGUCUUUUUAAAAAUGUAAGCACACACCACAUAGACAUACUUGCAUCAGUGAAGCACUAUGGGGCCCCAUGGGAUUAUAAUGAAGCUGAAGGUUUCUUAUUGCCCAGUCAUAUCAUGCAGUUCUGAGUGUGUGUUUGUGAGACAUAACUGUAAAAGAAACCCCCUUCAUAGCCAGUCUUGGAAGAGUAUAUCACCUAUACACAUUCAUGGUAUAUGAUAUUUAAUAUUUAAUUUAAUUUUUCUUAAUUGCCCACUGUUUCUUUUGAGUUCAAACACAAAAUAGAGCAGCCAAGAGUUUCUCCAUUUGUUGUUAGAUUGUGUUCCUUUCCAUUCAAAAGAACUUCUGCUGUUGGCAGAUAAACCUAUUUCCUAAAAGAGCAUUGAGCAAGCACCAAGCAUCCUGUGCUGCGCCACCAUCACAAAUUUUUCUACUAAGUAAUUGUGCCCCUGUGAGCUCAUUGUUUACUUAAUAUUUCUACGUUUCCAUCGGAAAUAAAAGAGGUUUAGUUAGAUGCUGUUUAUCACACUUUCUAUCUCCUAGCACCGCGCUCCUUCGGCACAUCUGGAAUAACACCUGUGAUGUAUCUACAUGUGUCAUACUUAUACCAACAUGCCUUUUAAAUUAUGUGUGUUUAAAAUGAACAUACAGAAAAGCUAGUUAGAGGGGAACUAGCUUAGAUAACU